UGGGGAAUAUUGCACAAUGGGCGCAAGCCUGAUGCAGCGACGCCGCGUGAGGGAUGACGGCCUUCGGGUUGUAAACCUCUUUCAGUAGGGACGAAGCGCAAGUGACGGUACCUAUAGAAGAAGGACCGGCCAACUACGUGCCAGCAGCCGCGGUAAUACGUAGGGUCCGAGCGUUGUCCGGAAUUACUGGGCGUAAAGAGCUCGUAGGUGGUUUGUCGCGUUGUUCGUGAAAACUCACAGCUUAACUGUGGGCGUGCGGGCGAUACGGGCAGACUGGAGUACUGCAGGGGAGACUGGAAUUCCUGGUGUAGCGGUGGAAUGCGCAGAUAUCAGGAGGAACACCGGUGGCGAAGGCGGGUCUCUGGGCAGUAACUGACGCUGAGGAGCGAAAGCGUGGGGAGCGAACAGGAUUAGAUACCCUGGUAGUCCACGCCGUAAACGGUGGGUACUAGGUGUGGGUUUCCUUCCUUGGGAUCCGUGCCGUAGCUAACGCAUUAAGUACCCCGCCUGGGGAGUACGGCCGCAAGGCUAAAACUUAAAGGAAUUGAC
rnacentral:rRNA from 1 species